rnacentral:rRNA from 1 species
GACGAACGCUGGCGGCGUGCUUAACACAUGCCAGUCGAACGGAAAGGCCCUGCUUUCAGGGUACUCGAGUGGCGAACGGGUGAGUAACACGUGGGUGAUCUGCCCUGCACUUCUGGGUAAGCUUUGGAGACUGUGGCUAAUACCGCGGAGGAACCAUCUUGAGUGAUGGUGUUGGAAGGUUUUUUGGGUGUAGGAUGAGCUCGCGCGCUAUCAGCUUGUUGGUGGGGUAAUGGCGUACUAAGGCGGCGUCGGGUAGGCGGCCUGAGAGGGGGUACGGCCACACUGGGAGUGAGAGACGGGGCAGAGACCCACGCGGGGGAGAGGUGGGGAAUAUUGUACAAUGGGGGCGAGCGUGAGGCGGAGAAGCCGCGCGGGGGAUGUAGGGGUCUGGGUUGUAAAAUCCGUUCGCUAGGGAGGCAGCGUUGUUGUGACGGUAACUAGAUAAGAAGCACCGGCUAACUACGUG